GGAAAACGCGUGAUUUUCGGCGAAAUUUUAUCGAAGGCCUUUAGGUCGUCGGUAUUAGCACAGUGAUUUAACUUACUGAAGGAUUGAUGGCUGUCGGUAAGAUGCUCGACUACUAAACCCCAAGACUUGGGUUUCCCUCAACCAUCUUUCAUUUUUGAGCCAAAUAAUUUCACUUUCUCAGCGAACCCUUGCCAGUUUUCCCCCAAUUGGGUUGCUUCGAAGCUCCUUGGCAAACUUUCAUUCACGGACGUCGUCUCCAUCCUUCGCACAACCAUUCAUAUACGUCGUCCUCGGUUGCACCUCAUUCUGUGGUUGCAGGGGCUCACCAUUGUGACAGGGUUUGUUCGAGACCAAGGGUUUGUUGGAGGGUAUUAGUAGAGCCUCCAUCUCCUUCCCUCAUGCGCAGAGGCAGAGGCAUUCACUCGUAGAGGAUCCUUUGCAGAGUUGGCUAUUGUAGUGGUGCAUCCAAGGUUGAGUGAAGCACACUUUAGGGAAAAUGUGUGGACAGUGUUCCCUUCUUCCCCUGUCGUGGUCUUGGGAGGUUGUCUUCGUCCAGGGAGGUUGUAUCGUGGAGUCAUGACUGGAGAAGGUUUAGACUGUCCUGAUAAAGGAAAUGGGGUAGCAAGGCCUAAAAAGAGGCAACGACAGGCCCCAAAGUAUGUACUUAGGGUGCCUGCUACAUUCCCUACCAUUGCUGCCCCUAGUCCAUCAUUCGUGGGGCCUCUUCCUACACCUGUAGUAGACCCUCCCCCUACUCUUUCAGUACACCCUCCUCCUACCCCUACAGUACACCCUCCUAGUACCUCUGCAGUACACCCUUCUCCUACCCCUGUAGCAGACCCUCUUCUUCCCCUUGUGAUUAUUACCCCCAAUCCUCCCCCCGACUGUACUUCUAUACCCUUCCUCAUCUUCUAGACCACCUUCUGAGAUUGCCACACCAUCUGCUGAUCUAGAUUCAGCUGGUGAUGGUGAAGGUGUUGAUCCGCCCCUCCAUGAUCGACCAUGGGUUGAGCCAUAUGGCAAAGGGUUUAUUCCAUCCAGGGUUACUUCCCAGGCCAUCACAUGAUCAAUUAAGCAAUAGUAUUUGAGUCCAUGGCCUACUUGGGGGGAGCAAUACCUAAAGAUGACAGAAAGCCAUUCUGAGAGCAUUUUAAGGUCUGUGUGGUUGGAUAAGAAAUACAAAUAUGAAACAAUUUUCACUGAAUCAAACCAAAGGCUUUACCGAAGGCUUUUGACCUUCGGUAAUUACCGAAGGCUUUAGGUCUUCGGUAAUUACUGAGAGGCAAAAGCCGUCAGUAAAGGUUAGUGACAGGUUUUACCGACGACUUUCUGACCGUCGGUCAGCCAUCGGUAAUUGGUCUUUACUGACGGCUUCUGGCGUUUUCUGAGAGAUUUUGGCCUCAGGUAAUGCCCUUCAUUCGUGUAGUUAAUUAUAAAAGAUGACAAUAUCCACCAAAGUCACAAUGAUUUAAUUUAUGGAAUGUUCAAACCCCAACCUGCUUUGAUGUAAGGACAGGAGGUUUAUCUCCAAUUGUGAAUGUAAUGUUU